GGUUGAUCCUGCCAGUAGUCAUAUGCUUGUCUCAAAGAUUAAGCCAUGCAUGUCUAAGUAUAAACUGCUUUAUACUGUGAAACUGCGAAUGGCUCAUUAAAUCAGUUAUAGUUUAUUUGAUGGUACCUUACUACUCGGAUAACCGUAGUAAUUCUAGAGCUAAUACGUGCGCAAAUCCCGACUUCCGGAAGGGACGUAUUUAUUAGAUAAAAGGCCGACCGGGCUUGCCCGACUCGCGGUGAAUCAUGAUAACUUCACGAAUCGCAUGGCCUCUGCGCCGGCGAUGUUUCAUU
rnacentral:rRNA from 1 species